CUUAGAUCAAUAGGAACUAAAUUUAUUCUUUUGAACUUUUUUUGUUGGCAUUAAUUUCUUACUAUAUCUAAAUGUAAGCAUUGGACUUUCAAAUCUAACCUUGUAACACUUCAAUAGCAAAAUAUAAAGAUAGAGAUAAAGGUAUAGUCUAGAUCUACCUUACUUCCAAAAAAUACAAAUAUAAAAUAGGCAUCAUCCUUACUAGUUUGGCACAUGAAGUUAUUGAUAUAGAUCUAGAAACCUCUGCAAUGUUUUAAUAAAGCUUUUUUUUUUUCUAUUUUUGUAGCCUGAACUCUAAAAGAUAUUUGUAAUGAACAAGGCACAUGAUGAUAGAGAAGACUUUAAGGUCAAAUAUACAAUAUUUACAAUGUACUUAAAGUACACACAUUUGAAUCACACUUGGCAAAAGCAAAAAUAAAUAAAAAAUGAAUAGUGAAGUCAUAUAUAUGUUUUGUAUAGUAGCAAUGAUUAACAAGUAUUUCAUUAUAAACAUUAUAUUGUUGUUAGAAGGAAUCCUAGUCCAUCAAUCCCCGGUCACUUAAUGACUUGGUCAAUUAAUCCCCUUUCCUUUUAAUCAUCAGUUAAAUCAGCGGUUCUCAACCUUUUAAGCUCGGCGACCCCUCUUUACAAUCCCACACUCUGCCGCGACCCCCCCCCCCC